CAAUAUGAUCAAAUUUAUAGUUGCGAACUGUUUGCAACACGUUUGUUUCUAUUUUGUGUUUGUGUGUUUUGGUGAUCGUGGGGCGGAUUGCGCGAUUCCGUUUUCGUGAUCUGCGUUUAUGUGCCUAGUUCCAUAUCUUCAAAUUUGAAAAACACCGGUGGAUAUUUUUAUUUUAUAUGAUAUUAUUUUUUAAAUGUUGCUACAACUUGCGUUAUGUAUUUGUAAAAUCAGUAUUUAAGUAAAUAAUCGAUUUUCAUAGCAAAUUUAUUGCUUUACACUAAUUACAGACGGCAUUUAAAAACAGUAACCGAUACUACAGCAUAUCGAUCUUUCACUGUAGGGGUUCUAAACGCGCCUCUGGUAAAGCUGUCAGAAAAUGGCCUGUUGAAAUCAAUUGCACCUUUUCAAAAAUCUAUAGCGCUCAACCCAAAUUAUAUGCUGCUGGUAAGAAAUCAAUAGCGACAAUUUAAAAAAAAUGAGCAGGAAGUCUACAAUCAAUUGUAAAACCCUGUAUCGCCCACAAAAUAAGAUAUGGUUUACCUGAUAGGUUUUUGGUGCUAUUGUUUUGAUUUUAUUAACGCACAAUACAACAUAAAAGCACUUAACGGCUGAAUUGAAAUAUGCAGUAGUUAACCCACAGGCAUAACCUAACCAAAAGCUAGAUUAAGCAAGUUUUUCAGAGUGACCAUAUGUAGUUCUAUCGAUUUUCGAUCGAAUAUCGGUUUACAAUUGAACACACUAAAACUCAGUUUUUCUAACCAAAAAUCAAAUAUUUUUCUAAGUAUUGACCGUUCAACCAUAAAAUUGGAAUUUAAUAAAAUUUAUGAGUGAAUAUAAAGUUGUUUAAACUGAAAAUUACCGAAUUUGCUUUAGAUUUCCUACCGAUAACCUCUAAAAACAAUCUGGACACUCCGCGCCAGCAACCGGUCUGCUGAAAUCAAUUGCUCCUAGUCAAUAAUCCACUGCUCGUAAUCAAAAAUAGAGGAUGCUAGUCAAGAAUCUAUUGCGACUAUUCAAAAAAAGUAUGCGGCUAGUCUAAACUCAAUUGGAAAACCCUGUAAAGUAGUAAUGGCUAUUUCGUGGAACGCAAAAACUGAUCCAUCGUUCUCAAAGGAGAGAUUUACAGUUUUAGAUAGAGAGGGAUAUAAAGUUGUCAAAGGCAGCGAAAAUGGAACUCUAAUAAGUAGAAAUGUAAGAGAUGUUAAAAAAUCCAUAAAGUAUAGUAUUAAAUGAUAAUCCAGAUAUUGAAGUUGAAACUUCAGAUGUUAAUGCUGAAUACACAGAUAUCCAGAGACCUAGAAUAUCAAUGCGCACUCCUGCUUGGUUUGAAGACAUGGAGGUUUAUCAAAUUCGGAUGUAGUUCGUAGUUUCUUUUUUCAUAAGAGUGGAGCAAGGGUAGGGAAUAGGUUAUUGUUGUGGACAGACCGCUGCCUCAUCCCGAGGGCUCACUGUUGUCAGCAGGGCUGUCAUACAGUGAUGUCCUCAGUGAGGAUCGCGACGCGAGAAGGACCAGCCAUCCUCUCCCCGAAUUGCGUAAAAUUGGGUGGUAUUAUCAGUGCUGCAAAACGUCAUGAGUAUCACGAGAUUUUCACCAACGAAAACAAUGAACAUAUCCGUGGUAGCUGGAUGCUCAUUGCUGAUAGUCAAUAAAAGUGCGUCAUGACAUGCUGAACACGACAUGUGAAUUCUUUAGUCCAACGCGAUACUCUGACUGAAAAGCUUAGCUUAAUGCCGGUGCAAGCAUAAUCAUGAUUUUUUUCUGGCUGUGAACAGUGCUGAAAAAUGCCACUGUUUCAGUCAUUAACCCGCUUGGCAAAGAGUAACUCAUUUUAAUGCCUCUCGCUACCCCUGGCCUUAGUUUUAACACGUUGUCUGCCACGUCAGCCACUAUGUGGCUGACGGGUUUUUUCCGAUCGGGCCACGUCAGCCACAUAGUGGCUGACACAUUGCACAUUGUAAAAGACGUAUUGUAUUGUAUUGUAUUUCUUAGUUGCGAGUCCGCCAUAUAAUGGUUACACAAGCUUUAGUAAUAAUAAUAAUAUUAAUAGGUAACGACUAAAUGUUAUACAAAUCGUAUUCGCUCUCUAAAUUGUCGUGUUACAAGAGAUAAAUUUGCACGUAUUUGAUCAGUUCUUUCACAAUGCUUUUCUUUCACGGUUAUUAUUUCUUAAAAAAAUGAUUAAAAUAUCAAAAUGAGUUUCUAUUAUGUUUUCAUAAAUAAAUGAGAAUGAGAAUGAACAAAAAUUAUAAGAUCUUGGAGUUCAUUUAUUCAUCCUUUACUUUUGAUGCACAAUCUUAAAACACUCAUCACAAAGUUGAGGUUGAUCGGGACAGCUUGGACAAUACGUAAACGUAGAAUGAAAUUCCAUGGAAUUUAGCCCAACAAACGACAUUGUGGAGCGACUGAGAGAACAAAGAGAAUUGGUGAAUUUGAUUUAAAAGAGGAAAAAUGCAAAAGUAAAUGCAAUCGUUUCAAAGAGUGAUUCCGUGGCCUGACGGGGCAGUUCAGUGGGCACGUAUGGUGGCAGACAACGUGUUAAAGGAAUCAUGCGACACACUCGCACUCCACUACCCCAUCCCAUGGAAAAACGCUCCCACUAUCGAGGUGUUGACCAAAAUUUCGCUGUAUACAUAAGACACACACUCGCACUCUUCCCGCCCUCCAUAGCCGAUCGCUCACACCGUUGCGAAGAUGGGAGCAUUUUUACUCUGAGCGUGAGAUCCUGAAGCGCAAGAGAUGACACUAUGUGUAAAGACGAUCAUAAUUCGAUAUGGUCAAAAUGCGUCGAUUGUCGUUUCAUUUAUCUGGUAAUGAUGUUUUCACUUCAUCAAAAUUUUAAACGUAAACAACUAGGCUGAUAACAAUAUUUUAAAUGUAAAUCAGAAUAAAAUCAAUUCAUUUGAAGUAAAAUAAAUUCCAUUAUACUUUAUUAUGACCAUAUGAUCAACAUUUGUACAUAGUGCCAUUUACUUUGUGUUCUUCACUCUCGCGCUGUGUUGUGAUCGUUCGAAACUCAUCGCCAGAACGAAUGCAAAUUUCAUAUGGGAAGGAUUGGUGCCGGUAGAUGCGAAAUUUAUUAAAUGUGAAUAGAAAAGUGGUUAAGUUAAUCGUGAAAGAUGUCAACGUAGGCGUAAAUGCAGUAUGUUUUGUUACAUGAUCUACGGCUAUUUCAUUACGAAAGCACCUGAUAACAUAUCAAAGCAGGUGAAUCGGGCUUACAGGGUCGCCGUUUAAAUUCAAAUAUCUUCGUGAUCGGCAAACGCAUCAAACAGCAAGUGUUUCUCUUCCAACAGCACGCGCUAUCGGUGGAGCAAGCAGCAAACGUUUCGUUCGCCCAGCACGCACCAUCAAGAAUUAAAAUAUCCCCGAAUAGCUCUGUGAAUAAAAAACUGCACACUUACUGUCCGAA